GAACAUGACUUGCGUUACAUGAACCGACGUCACGCCGCACUGAGAGAAUCAUCCUCACUAUACGACACAGUUUUCAAAGGGAGACUUUUUUUUUUUUUUAGUUUUAGUGUCGUUGUAGUUUCUAAGCAACAGAAAUCCGGGUACGAAGAGUUCGAUGAAGCAGCAGACGGCUUCACGAGGAACGAGCGACUUCAUCUCAAGUUGAACAACAAGUACUCCUGCUCCUGUUGAAAUGCUCAUCUCUCCGUCAUGCCGCCGCCGCCCCCCCCCCCCCCCGCCGCGCCAUUCUCCAUCGCCUCCCCACCCCUCCUGCUCUCCCCACUGGCACUGAUUGCAGAUUCCCGGCAACAAGGAAGCGAGUGAGGUAGAAUGAAACAACAACAACAACAACCAAAACGCCUGCAUUCAGGCCCUAAUCCCUUCAUCUAACCCCGGCCAGGCUUUCUCCCUUUUCUUUUUUCCGCCCUAAAUGGAUGUAUUUCUGUUCCUAUUAAACAUGGAUGGCUUGAUGGACAAAUAUGCUGUUCAUCAGUUUUGUCCUGCUACAUUGUGAGUUUCUGUUUUAAGCAUGUUUGUCUGGUGCUUUGGGGGUGAAAUAUAUAAAAAGGAAUAUUCAUGGAGUCAAUGAGUUAGCUGAGGG
ensembl:lncRNA